UGUAUACAUAAAUAACUUGUUUUGGCUGUUAAGCGUAUCUUUAGGCACGUAAAAAGUAAGUAAAUCGCUCUAGAAAUCUGAAGAAUGCUUACUCGGCAAACCCAUCAGUUUGGGUUUGGAGAAGAAAUUUCAACGAAAACGUCUUGUGAGAACUUGAAGACAUGAGUAGACGAAAGUGCCUGGCAAAUCCCACUGAUGUGCUUUGUGCGUCUGAACAGCCAGCCUGCCACCCUGCCCAGCCCUCACCCAAAAACAUCACAAGAUGAAGGAGUAGAUGAGAGUGCCUGGCAAAUCCCGCUGAUGUGCUUUGUGCGUCUGAACAGAAACCACUGCAGUGAGGCUUGACAUGGUUAUCCCUCAUUCAUUGCCUGGUAAUACAGUGGAGAAACGUUGUAAGACUGUCUGAAUGAGCUCCUGCUGUUGACGGACAUCCACCAGGCUGUGCAGUGACUGCUGACCAAUAAGGGUUGAAAGGACGGGUAGAGGAGUGGAGGUGGACAUGGAGCCCUUUGUGUUCGACUUCGAAAUACAAGAGGACAUGGAGGACUUCUCGAAGGACUGCCAGGCCGUACUGGCAACAUGUGCCCACCCUAACACUCACACUUUCCCUAAAGUUUUGGUAUCAAGGUCUGUGUCUAGCAGUGCAAUGAA